rnacentral:lncRNA from 1 species
CAGACUUGUGUGUGAUGACAUAUCUGUUGGAGCAGCUAACAAAGUUUCCAUAAUGCUUAGAGAUGAAGCUUGCAGUCUACAACCCCUCUCAUUCAAGGAAGCCGUGAGACAAGCAAUUUAACUUACACCUGAAAUCAAAAAGGAAUGAAAGGAAGCCUUCUCUUUUCUGACUACAUUUUGCUGAUGGGAAGCCUAGUUACAGUCAGCAUAGUGCCAAGUUUCUGGGUGUCUGAGAGGAAUUGUGUGAUGUCAAGUGCUGGAGAAGUUUAGAGCAGCCAUGGUAGAGCUGAACCAGUAAGCAGGACCAGACUGCAGUCUCUGUUUACAUGAUCCCCAAGACCACUGCUCCGUCAUUGCUGAACCUCAGAAGAUCCAUGUUAUUGCCAUCCCAACAGGGUUUUUUAUUCCUUUUCAUAGAAGGGAAUUGACUGUAACUCCAUCUAAAGUUAAGCUGCUUCAGGAAGAAGUACCAAAAGCAAACAAACAACACAGGGCAGGACUUUGCACUGGAAGCAGAGGCAGGCUGUAGAAUGGCUUCACAGAAAGCAGAUAUUGAAGG